ensembl:lncRNA
GGAGGUGGUGGAGGAGGUGUUGUGGUGGAGGUGGUGGGGGAGGAGGUGGUGGAGGUGGUUGAGGAUGAGGUGGUGGAGGAGGAGGUGAUGAGACAGGAGGAGGAAGUGGAGGAGUUGGAGGAGGUGUUGGAGGAGGAGAUGGCAGAGGAGGAGGUGGUGGAGGAGGUGGAGGAAGAGGAGGAAGAGAAGGGAUGGGUGCGAUGCACCUUGACAGACAAGAUCUGGCUGGUUCUGGCAGUAAACAAGACCUGAUGGUGCGGCAUCACCGACGACUGCAGAACCCGAAAACAUCAUGGGCCGCGCCCAUGGGUUGGUCUCCACGGUAACCAGACAAUUCAUCAGGCGUUCGUCCAAAUAUCGCAGUGGUCCUCCUGAUUCAGUGUCUCUCCGCCGGCCCCGGGUCAGAGCUGCGGCGUCCACCCACGGGCUGAUUUAUCGCGGCCGGGGUUACGCUCAGAGAGGAGAGCAGAGGAGGUGCUGCGGAGAGAUCUCCUCCUAAACCUCAGCAUGCCAAGAGGAGGCGCAGAGAGGAUGGAAGGCAGGGGAGACGGAGGUGCAGUAUAAAGACAACCCCUGCCUCCCCAAACCCAGGGCACGGCACACCCACACCGACGCAGACCCAAACUCCCUCGCCCUCUAUGCCGCUAAACUUGGCUGCGUGACAUUCAUCAAGCUCCCCUUCUCUCUGUGUACCGUGGACCUAAAUACAUCCCAGGUCCCAGGCCCUGCGAGGCCCAGACCCAGCC